UACAAACCUGUGCUCAUUUCACUGCUGCUCCUGUGGAUCUUGAAUGUGUCUGCAAGUUAGUAUGGCCUUGGCUUUAAUUUAGUACUUCUUUUAGUGUAUGAAGACUGCUGUGUUUCCUACACAAUAAAGAAAAUGAAGUGCCGUGCUGUGAAGGGCUAUUCAAUACAAACAUCCAGAGAUCUGUACAAUGCCAUCAUUUUCCACACAAAAUGGGGCACACAGAUUUGUGCAGACACAAGUCAGCAGUGGGUGAUGGACAUCAUUCAUUGCCUAAAGCACAGAGUGAAAUUAAUUUCUCAACAGAGCUAGAAUGCUGUAGAGGAAGAACCUGCCAAAGCUGGAAAAGCAAGCAUAACACAACUCUUUAGUUUUGUUUUAGAAACAAUAGUCUUUAAAGGAGCAGAAAUGUUUUUUAUUUAUUUCCUGAUAUGUGUGUUUAUAGAUACUUAAGUACUGAUCCAUGAUUAUAUAAUAAAAGUUCAUGUCUUGAUUGGUUAAAGGGAUAUAUGGCAAAAGAAAAUUGCUAACUGUUUUGAACUCACAAUGAGGACACACACACAGUAUGUGAGAUUUUUGUAUCUGGGAGAUGCACAAUGAACUGAAAAUUAAAAAUACAGACAAAUCUUGGAAAACCAAGAGGUACAAGUAACAAAGCCAAAAUGUACAUCCAAAAGAAACACUACAAAAAGUUUGAACCAAACUUGGAGGAAAACUUAACUCCAAAAAUGUUUAUAUCCAAAGCUAUAAGAUCUUUACGGAAACAUCCCAAAGCUAGGAUGCCAGAGGUCGCAUGCCACCAUCUUAAAUAGGUCGAAUGAGAUGAUGAUAUAAUUUCUACAUCAUGUGCCCUGCAACAGUCAAUGUAACUGUAAACAACAUGACCACAGUCAUGAGAGGAAAAGGGCAUUAAAAUGGCGGUGAUUGCCAAUGAAAGUGAACAUACAAUGGUGAUGCAGUGAAGUCACCAAAACACCAUGAAAUAUAAACUAAAAAAAUAAAAUUAUAAAUAAAUAAUGUGCACAAAUGAACUUUUAGCCUUCACAAUGAAAGACCAUCACAGAGUAAGAGAACAAUGGUGAAUUAAGUUGGUUAUAUUAAACAAUCUAGACAAUUCAUUCAGUUUAAUAAAGCCAUCCAUCCACAGUCUUAAAAAUAAAGGUGCCAGAGGGGUUUUUCAGAGCAAUGCCAUAGGAACAAAUUUUUG